CGCGUAGGCGGCAAUUCAAGUCAUCUGUGAAAUCUCCGGGCUUAACUCGGAACGGUCAGAUGAUACUGCUUUGCUAGAGUGCAGAAGGGGCAAUCGGAAUUCUUGGUGUAGCGGUGAAAUGCGUAGAUAUCAAGAGGAACACCUGAGGUGAAGACGGGUUGCUGGGCUGACACUGACGCUGAGGCGCGAAAGCCAGGGGAGCAAACGGGAUUAGAUACCCCGGUAGUCCUGGCCCUAAACGAUGAAUACUUGGUGUCUGGAGUCAUUAUUGCUCCGGGUGCCGUCGCUAACGUUUUAAGUAUUCCGCCUGGGGAGUACGCACGCAAGUGUGAA
rnacentral:rRNA from 1 species